UGGGGAAUUGUUCGCAAUGGGCGCAAGCCUGACGACGCAAUGCCGCGUGGAGGAUGAAGGUCUUCGGAUUGUAAACUCCUGUUGCCAGGGACGAAUGGCUCCGACCUAACACGUCGGAGUAUGACGGUACCUGGUGAGGAAGCCCCGGCUAACUCUGUGCCAGCAGCCGCGGUAAUACAGAGGGGGCGAGCGUUGUUCGGAAUUACUGGGCGUAAAGGGCGCGUAGGCGGCCCGCUAAGUCGAACGUGAAAUCCCCAGGCUCAACCUGGGAACUGCGUCCGAUACUGGCAGGCUUGAAUCCGGGAGAGGGAUGUGGAAUUCCAGGUGUAGCGGUGAAAUGCGUAGAUAUCUGGAGGAACACCGGUGGCGAAGGCGGCAUCCUGGACCGGUAUUGACGCUGAGGCGCGAAAGCCAGGGGAGCAAACGGGAUUAGAUACCCCGGUAGUCCUGGCCCUAAACGAUGAAUGCUUGGUGUGGCGGGUAUCGAUCCCUGCCGUGCCG
rnacentral:rRNA from 1 species